rnacentral:misc_RNA from 1 species
CUGUAUCGGGGUGCCCCCCCUCUCGCUCCGGCGGGUUGCGGGUGCACCUUACCUUACAACCCUUGUCUAUGAGCACCUCUUGUUUCCUCGGCGGGUUCGCCCGCCAGAGGACCUACCUAAAACCCUUUGCAAUACCUGCAGUACUGUCUGAUAGCGAAAGCAAUUUAAAUCA